rnacentral:rRNA from 1 species
UACGUAGGGGGCAAGCGUUGUCCGGAUUUAUUGGGCGUAAAGAGCGUGUAGGCGGCUAGGUAGGUCCGUUGUGAAAACUCGAGGCUCAACCUCGAGACGUCGAUGGAAACCAUCUAGCUAGAGUCCGGAAGAGGAGAGUGGAAUUCCUGGUGUAGCGGUGAAAUGCGCAGAUUUCAGGAAGAACACCCGUGGCGAAGGCGGCUCUCUGGUACGUGACUGACGCUGAGACGCGAAAGCGUGGGGAGCGAACAGG